rnacentral:lncRNA from 1 species
UAAAGACAUGGUACCAUAUUUCCAAAGGAGAAAUGACCACUAAACUGAGCUGGAAGCAUCAUGAAAAUACAUGUAGGACAAUCUCCAUCUCUCCAUCUGUUACAAAGGGGCAGAAGUAUUACAUGGCACUCUGUACCUGAUUGCUUGGGUGCGCUUUCGGGUGUAAGGAGUAAUAACCUUGAAAAGCAGUUCCAUGGCUCCAUUAAUUCCCAGCAUGGCUCCCAUGGAGACUAAGAAAAACAAAAGCACAGUAGUUAUGGUCACAAGUGGAUGAGUUAAGGCUCAAGACAACUUGGAUUGACUCCUUUAAAUCUUUUAGGGGCAACUUGAUAAACAAGAUAGCUCCCUUUCUUUUCCACCCUUGUUGCACAUUCCUCUAUAAUGUUCUUGGAAUGCCCCCUAUUUCCCCUCUAAUAUUUCUAAAAUACUGCUCCAAAUAACCUGACACCUAGUGUUACAAAUAGUCCUCAUUAUUUUAAUAAUUAGAAAAUAAGCAUUAAAAAAGAAAUACUUAUUUUCUGUUCUUUGCCCCCACUAUGAUACCUGUCAAUGGGUGAUGUCUAAAUCAUCCUGUUUGUUUUUGCAAGAAUACAUCACUAUCAGAUUUAUCGGAGGUAGAAAUGAGUAAAACAGAAAUAAAACCCUAAACCUGGUUUACUGAUAUGUACCUCUGGACUAAAGGAUACCAGCAAAGAGGUUGUAACUAAACUUACAUAACCCAUUCCCUUCAUCAAAAAAGAGAUAUCUAUCCCAUUCCUUCAUGAGCAGCCAACCUCAUUUCUGUUCUGUUCAGGUCACUCCAAGAACAAGUUCCCGCUGCCCCACUGGGUCCUGCGUUAUCAAUGCAAGUGGUACUUCACCACCAAGAGACCCAACACCUUCUUCUAGGUGCUGGGCCCUCUCACCCAGGUGGGCCCCACUUAAACUAAGGAAUGCCCUGGUUUUUUUUUUUUUUAAUCAAUUAACGUAUUUUUUCAAUUAAUUUUGAUUUGUAAAUUAAUUGCUGAACAAGAUAUCAAAAUUUAACUUUCUAACUCCUAUUCUGAGAAGGAUGAGACCUCUAGGGAUCCCUAGAUACUUGAUGGGAUCCCUAGACACUUACCCAGGAGAUUGAUUGUGUUUUUAGAAGAGACGAGUUUCCACCAUGUUAACCAGGAUGAUCUCGAUCUCCUGACCUUGUUAUCCACCUGCC